GAUGAACGCUGGCGGCGUGCCUAAUACAUGCAAGUCGAGCGAACAGACGAGGAGCUUGCUCCUCUGACGUUAGCGGCGGACGGGUGAGUAACACGUGGAUAACCUACCUAUAAGACUGGGAUAACUUCGGGAAACCGGAGCUAAUACCGGAUAAUAUAUUGAACCGCAUGGUUCAAUAGUGAAAGACGGUUUUGCUGUCACUUAUAGAUGGAUCCGCGCCGCAUUAGCUAGUUGGUAAGGUAACGGCUUACCAAGGCAACGAUGCGUAGCCGACCUGAGAGGAUGAUCAGCCACACUGGAACUGAGACACGGUCCAGACUCCUACGGGAGGCAGCAGUAGGGAAUCUUCGGCAAUGGGCGAAAGCCUGACGGAGCAACGCCGCGUGAGUGAUGAAGGUCUUCGGAUCGUAAAACUCUGUUAUUAGGGAAGAACAAAUGUGUAAGUAACUAUGCACGUCUUGACGGUACCUAAUCAGAAAGCCACGGCUAACUACGUG
rnacentral:rRNA from 1 species